CCCACCAGUGACCAGUCUCCGCUGCUGGCCCUGCUAAGUGUGUGUUGUGUUUGUGUGUCGCCUAAAAGGUACUGUAGCUUACGGUUUGUUUUACACAUGAUUAGCGACCUAGUGGAACAGACAUUCUGGAGGAUCAGCACAGAAGCUGUUAUCCUCUACACUGAAGGAUCCUCACCGCAAAGUUGAAACACUUCAAUUUGCUGACUGUAAACUCUCAGAUAAAUCCUGUGAGAUUGUUGCUUCAGUUCUACAAUCAGCAAACUCCCUACUACAGCUGGAAUCUUGAGGGACAAUGACCUGGGGGAUUAUGGAGUUCAGCUUCUCUCAAAAGGACUGUCCAGUUUUAACUGCAAAAUACACACAUUAAGGCUCUCUGAUUGUCUCAUCUCAGAGAAGGGUUGUGGUUUUCUUGCUUCAGCUCUGUCUUCAAACCCUCCCAUUUAAAACUGCUUGAUCUCAGCUACAAUUAUCCUGGAGAAUCAGGACUGAAGUUGUUAUCUGCUAGACUGGAGGAUCCUGUCUGUAAACUGGAGAUACUGAAAACUGACCAUGCUUCUCUAAGCAAAGCAACGUCCACGUU